rnacentral:rRNA from 1 species
UAGUCAUAUGCUUGUCUCAAAGAUUAAGCCAUGCAUGUCUAAGUGUAAACAAAUUUAUACUGUGAAACUGCGAAUGGCUCAUUAAAUCAGUUAUAGUUUAUUUGAUAGUAACUUACUACUUGGAUAACCGUGGUAAUUCUGCAGCUAAUACAUGCAUUAAAUCCCGACUUCUGGAAGGGAUGUACUUAUUAGAUUCAAACCAACCUGGGCAACCAGUUUUAUGGUGAUUCAUGAUAAUUUUUCGAAUCGUAUGGCCUUGUGCUGACGAUGGUUCAUU